UACGAAGGGUGCAAGCGUUACUCGGAAUUACUGGGCGUAAAGCGUGCGUAGGUGGUGAGUUAAGUCUGUCGUGAAAGCCCCGGGCUCAACCUGGGAAUGGCGAUGGAUACUGGCUCGCUAGAGUGCGGUAGAGGAGAGUGGAAUUCCCGGUGUAGCAGUGAAAUGCGUAGAGAUCGGGAGGAACAUCAGUUGCGAAGGCGGCUCUCUGGACCAGCACUGACACUGAGGCACGGAAAAGCGUGGGGGAGCAAACAGG
rnacentral:rRNA from 1 species